CGGGCAUAUGGCAUUGGCAAACAAGUGUUGGUGAGGGAGGGAGGCCUUACAUGGUGAAGAGCCUAUCUCCCUUAGCCAAGAAUGACUUGCCUAUCUCUACUAUUUGGUUCAUCUGGGAGCCCUUAUGAUGGAUGAAAGAUGGAUGGGCAAGCAUUCUGGUUAAGCGAGUGAUUCUCUUCCACCAUGCUAGGCUAACCCUCUUUCUAAUCCUAAGUCUGCACAUCAAAAAGAUCUUCUCAUCAGAACCAGCACUUCCAACAACAUAGCAGCCAGUGAGCUCUCGACAAUUUGACCAACGGCGCCUGCUGCCGCUGAAAUGAAGACAGUCUCUUUUCUUAGCCUUGGCCACAUCAUAAAGUCCUAAAUGAGCAGUAAGGCCGGGCAUACCUGAAUGAUGGUUGUGGUUGUAGCAUACAGUUAGGGGAAAAACAACUUUGCGUUCUGUAACACUUGAGGAUUUUAAAUGAGGUUCGUGUCUUCCCGGGGAAACGGAUGAUAGCGUUUAUUUGGAUCAUGGGAGAAGCUUCUGAAGGAUUAAAGAUGACAUUCUACUCUACUGGCGAUGCGCAAGAGCGAGAGCUGAAAAUCAGCUCGCUCAUCAACAACACCUGUAUAGUAAGAGAGGGGCAUUUCGGAGUGUUUGAUCUUUAAAAGAGACUCUGGUUUAGGGAUGCAGGUGAGUUCCCCCCAUCCGGUUCUUCGCUACACGAGAUCGCCUACCUUGAAAUCCGGGCGGUGCCCGGCCGGAUGCUACCACCUUGCUCACACCAUACCCAGCUAGAACCUGAUUUUUUUUUUUGGUCGAGUGAGUCAGCGAGACAACAAGAUUAUUCUUAGGUUGUCAUUUUGUAAAAAAAUGCUGAAUGGAAGAAGACAGCUUUGAAGCUGAACAGUGCACAAAUCUUCUCCAGAACAAGUACGCGCCGAAUGUAUCUUUGAACAAUGUAUAUAUAGGCAGUGUUUAGAUCUUGGGUUUUUAGUGUGUGGCACACCCUUAAAACAUGAAUUUGUGUGCA